UUCUGGCAUGAAUGGAGUUUGCUGGAUGUGUUUUUGGUUUUUAGAAGGGAGUUAGGAUGGUAGGGUGGUGCGGCAAGGUGUGGGAAAGAGUUAUGGAGGUGUGGAAUGGUGUCUAAAGGUGGAGGAUGGUGGCUGGAAUGAAUCAAAGGCUGCGGCAAGAUGUGGUUUUGGUGAUGGUGGCUGCAGCAAGAUGUGGAAAGGGGGAGAUGAUUUUCUGAUUUUAUGGAGAGGGAAGAAGAUUCUCGGCAAGGUGGUAAAAACACAAAUAUAUAAGCACCUAAAACCCUAAUGAAAUCAGAUUAGACAACAAUGGGCUAGGGUUAGGUGCGGCACUUAAGUGAACAUGGGCUAGGGUUUGUAAAAUAGGCUUCUAGGAUGGAAAGGUGCGGCUUGGGUUUAGGAGAAAUGGACUAGGGUUUAACAUGGCAGAUUUUAGAUGAUUAGGCCCUAGGGUUCGGCAUGGGUUGAAGGUCCACAA
rnacentral:lncRNA from 1 species